UAUCUGAUACUUUGAGGGACCAUCUCUAGAGCUCACUAGUAGAGAAGCUCCUAUGGACAUGUAGAGUACCUAAAAGCAGGAGGCUGAGGUGUGGUGUUCUCUCCUGAGCAUGAAGCAAGCUCUUCCUGUGGCUAUGUAGCAACAGCCUUCUGCCAUUAGUGAUCAGUCUUCUUUCCCCUUGGGAGAGGUAGAGAGAGACAGAAUCAUAUGA